rnacentral:lncRNA from 1 species
GGGAAGCGCUUUCAGAUGAACUGCAGGGAACAGGUGAAGAGUGUGGACACCGGAGCAUGGGGCGGUGAGAAGACACAAUACGAGGCCUGCCGUCCGAACGCGGACCCUGCAGCCCCUGCGGCGGGAAGCCGUGAACACAAGGCUGAGUUUGCGCCUCUGAUUUGCGCCACGUGAUGGGACUUGCCGGGGCCUCCCUGCCCGUGAAGAGGCUGUUUUUGCUUUGAGUCUGCGUGCACGGUGGGUCUGCUGCGCCUGCAUAGGUGGGUUUAAUUGGCUCCAGCUGCACUGGCGGCGCCUCUCCUCCACUAGGAUGUGGCGCAUGGAGUUAUGGGUGGAGCCCUUUGAAGCAGCUGCAAGUCAUUCUGUCGUAUAAACUGAAAUAAGAAGAGGGUGAAAAAUCCAAGCCCGUGACUCUGCCCGCUCCACAGCUGUGCUCACACAGCUCCGCGAGACGGCCGCCCAAACAAAGCUACCUCCGUGGGCCUUGGCCGGCUGACAAGAGGAAGAGAAGGAGAUUACUCUAAGCUGGGCCCGGCCUGGCCUGAGACUUCGAUCUCGGUGAUGACAGCCACCAGCUGGAUGAACUGGCCCCGCGUCCUUCCUACUCCUCAUCUCCCUUCUCUUGCUGGGACUUCACGAGAGAGCCCGAGUUACUGAGUCAACAGGAAGUAGAAGAGACUCCCACGCAGCUCAGGCCCCCGUGGCAGGACCAGGAAGGAGGGAGAGGUGGCGCGUUGCCU